GUGAGCGUCUGUGAGCGUGGAAGUAAAUCAACUAAAGUGAUCGGGCCAGGUGUGAGCGGGUUGGCCAGGUAACGGUAGCCCGCUGUUCCCGUCUCUGUACCCUGAUGCGGAUUAAUGAAACACGCCUUAGGAGACGCGAAGAUGAACCGCGCGGCCUGUCGUGUUGUGUUGUGAAGAUUUAAUUAAAACGGAGUUCCAGAGACUAAAUGUGACUUCCGAGAUCAACCUCGAACCUAAUGAACCCCAUCCUGUCGUUCACACGCCGUGGCGUACGGAAAACCCGCGAGGACCUCAGAGAUGAACUUCUGCUUGAAGAACGAAGGCCUACACACGGUUCUGGAGUCUGAGGGACUAUUGGAGGAGGAGGAGAGGAGAUCGAGGAGGAGGAGAGCAGAGGACCUCCAGCCAUCGAGGCCAUCAGGACCGGGAACGCUGGGUCCAGGAACAGGGAGCGCUGAUGAACGCAGUGUACAACGACCGCGUGGUUGAGGCCGUUAUGGGAGGAGAGGACAACAUGACGACAGCCAAUGACGAUAAGAGGGCUUUAGAGUGUCAUCAGCAACACCAGGCACGCAUGACCGCACACACGCAGGUACGCACAAACACACAGAAUUAAAACUUGCGCACACACAACUUGCACUUAAACAUGUGUACGAACACACAUACACACAAACACGCGCACACAUACACACGCCCCUUGCUGGACGCGUUCUCCAGAUGAUGAAUGAUACAUAGAGGAGUGUGUCUGUAUGCUGCUGCGGCGGCUGUUGUUUUCACUGUGAUUAGCAUAGAUUAGUGCAAAGCUGAACUUCAAAUUAAAAGUCAAUUUCCUGUGUUUGCGUUGCUGCAUAAUGUAUUGUGAGGGCGGGGAGAGACAUCAAACCGAGCUCAAACAGCAGAAAAUACGAACAUCCUGAGGGAGAAUAUUGUAAAAGCCUUUAUUUUUUUUUACAUUUCAAAGCAGAGAUCAUCUUUUUGAUAUAAAGCUGGCGUCCACAUAGUAGGAAUGAAGAUCUGGAAAAAGAUAAACUAUAUAUACAUACGUUAUAUGUUUAUACAUAUGAUUAUAUAUAUUUGUUUAUAUAUAUAAGUUUAUAAAUAUUUAUCUAUAUGUUCAUAUAUAUACAUAUAUAUAUAUAUGCAUAGAAAUAUGUUUACGUUUAUAUAUUAUCGUGUAUAUAUAUGUGUUUAUAUAUGCGUUUAUAUAUUAGUUUAAGGAUCAGAUCUCCAGACAAAGCUAGAACAUGUGGACUUUGCUCACAAAUGCUAAACAGACCUCCGAUCAGAUACAACCAGAGUCUGGACCGGACCGGACCGGACCAGUAGACAGACUGGACCCUCAUAGUCCUGAACAGACCAGCAGGCGGACUCUGGUCCGUCUCCCACUCAGAGACCGCGUAGAGGACAGUACUUCCUGUUAGUGAACCAGGCUACAGCCCAGAGAGAAGACCGGUCUGGACCAGACCGGUCCAGGUCUGGACCGGUGUGGUCCAGACCUGGACCGGUCUGGUCCGCUGGUCUAGACCAGACCGGUCC
rnacentral:lncRNA from 1 species